GUAGUUUUAAUUGUGAACUUCCUGUUUGACAGGAAGUCAAAGAGGAAAUGGAGUCUUCUACCCAUCAAACGUCCUAAAAGAGCAUCCCUUGCUGGCCAUCUUUCAUAGCAGCCUUAAAGAAAACUUCAUCUAAUAAAAGCGCUGUGGAAGAGGAGGCUUGUGGCGAAACAACAAGAAGGUCGACAACUGCCACAUUGUGAGCAAAGGUGUCUUGACGCCAGUCUCUGAGGGAAGUCGACGGCAGCUGCAUGGACGGCACAAGCUCAGCUGAUCUCCGCAGCAUCGGAGACCAUGAAUGGACGGGCUGACAGACUGAGGAAGCUGAAAGCACGAGAGGACAUUCGCGGAAAAGAACAAAAAGGACAAUUGCUGAAAUGCAGAAAAAGAACAUUGAAAAAUAAAAAUCAUUGUAAACCCUGAACAAGGGCGUGUGGUCCAAAAAGAACCCAGCAAGAGUAGAGACGUUUACACUGACAUACUUGUCUUGUCUGAAACCCAGCUUAAGAGAUCCAUCACGGACAAAGAUAUUACAAUUAGGGGCUAUGAUUUAGGAGGCGGAAUUGCAAUAUAUGUAAAACAUAUAUCAAUUCCUGCUCACUUAUUGUCUGUAUCCUGUAGCAAACAAUUUGAAUGAAUUGCACUUAAAGUGGAAGUCAUUAAGGACAGUUUUAUUACUGUUAUUGGUUGUUACAGACAACAAGUAGUAAGGCCUUUGUUGAUUGAUUGAAACUUUUAUUAGUAGACUGCACAGUACAGUACAUAUUCCGUACAAUUGACCACUAAAUGGUAACACCCGAAUAAGUUUUUCAACUUGUUUUCUUAAGUCGGAGUCCUCGUUAAUCAAUUACUGUCACUGAUCAAUCAGCUUCCAACCCUGAAUUUUAAUAAGAUUCUUCUUAUUGGGGAUCUGAACUGGGUCUGGUUGUCUUCUU